GAUGAACGCUGGCGGCGUGCCUAAUACAUGCAAGUCGAGCGAACGGACGAGAAGCUUGCUUCUCUGAUGUUAGCGGCGGACGGGUGAGUAACACGUGGAUAACCUACCUAUAAGACUGGGAUAACUUCGGGAAACCGGGGCUAAUACCGGAUAAUAUUUUGAACCGCAUGGUUCAAAAGUGAAAGACGGUCUUGCUGUCACUUAUAGAUGGAUCCGCGCUGCAUUAGCUAGUUGGUAAGGUAACGGCUUACCAAGGCAACGAUGCAUAGCCGACCUGAGAGGGUGAUCGGCCACACUGGAACUGAGACACGGUCCAGACUCCUACGGGAGGCAGCAGUAGGGAAUCUUCCGCAAUGGGCGAAAGCCUGACGGAGCAACGCCGCGUGAGUGAUGAAGGUCUUCGGAUCGCAAAACUCUGUUAUUAGGGAAGAACAUAUGUGUAAGUAACUGUGCACAUCUUGACGGUACCUAAUCAGAAAGCCACGGCUAACUACGUG
rnacentral:rRNA from 1 species